rnacentral:rRNA from 1 species
GAUGAACGCUGGCGGCGUGCCUAAUACAUGCAAGUAGAACGCUGAAGGAAGGAGCUUGCUCUUUCCGGAUGAGUUGCGAACGGGUGAGUAACGCGUAGGUAACCUGCCUGGUAGCGGGGGAUAACUAUUGGAAACGAUAGCUAAUACCGCAUAACAGUAGAUGUUGCAUGAUAUCUACUUAAAAGGUGCAAUUGCACCACUACCAGAUGGACCUGCGUUGUAUUAGCUAGUUGGUGAGGUAACGGCUCACCAAGGCGACGAUACAUAGCCGACCUGAGAGGGUGAUCGGCCACACUGGGACUGAGACACGGCCCAGUCGCCUACGGGAGGCAGCAGUAGGGAAUCUUCGGCAAUGGACGGAAGUCUGACCGAGCAACGCCGCGCGAGGGAAGAAGGUUUUCGGAUCGUAAAGCUCUGUUGUAAGAGAAGAACGAGUGUGAGAGUGGAAAGUUCACACUGUGACGGUAUCUUACCAGAAAGCGACGGCUAACUACGUG